rnacentral:lncRNA from 1 species
CAGCUCUGCAGUACUUAAGAAAAUGAAAUGAGUUUUUGAUGGAAAGAGCAGCUAGCCAUUUAGGGGAGCUUAUCAAGCAGUAAAACACUACAAAUGGCAAUAAACAUUCAGUUCCUAAAGCAGAAUGCUUUGUGACUUUCAUAUUCUAAUGAAGUGAUUAAAAUGAAUUCCUCGCUAUUUAUUGCAGGUGGCAGCUUAGCACCACGGGAUAUCUGUAUUUUGUAGUGUGCUUUUGUGAAGUUGUUGCUGCUGAAGACUUAAGCAACUACUGGCUGCGAUGGACAGGUUUCUGCUGGAUCAUAAAGCACUGGUCCCUUGGGUUAGUCUGUCUAAAGUUGAUACAUAGAGGAACAUGAUGGGAAACAGCUGGAGAAAAGAAGUCUGUUCUCAGGACUUUCUUGGUUGCUGAUCAAAUUCUGCACUUUCCUCCUUCACUGAGGCCAAGUCUCUUUGGACAAUGGACAAGCAAAGAGAUGAUCUGAGGGUCUGACAAUUUGCUAUCUUGAAGGAACAUUGUGUUUUCCAGCUGACCUAGCCUAAAAGACCUAGCCUUUUAUCCUCUAGCACAGGAAACAUGUAGCUUAAAAGUACUGUGGAUGUACUCUUACAGCUCUUUUCUUGAACUUGCCUUUUACUUGUAUAUACUGUAUAAAAACUAAAAAUUGACAAGUCAAAAGAUCAAAGCUGUUUUUAAAAAUAAAGCUUUUUUUCUAACUGAACCA